UUUACCAAAUCCACGAGAACAAAAUAACAAAGGCGACGACGAAAGAAGAAGAAAUUGGGACGGAGAGCGGAACCGCCGCCAUGUCUUUCGCCACUGUCUCUCCGGCUACCAUCGACAGCGACGCUCCUCUCUGCUCCUCCGUCAUAUAUUGGUGCCACGAGUGCGACAUGAGCGUCACCCUCCUCCCCUCCCAAUCCCCACUCAUCUGUCCCGACUGCUCCCGCUCCGAUUUCCUCGAGGAAAUGGAGUCUACACCCACCCAUCUCCCCUCUUCCUCCUCGGCCCCUUCUCCCCCUCCCCAAUCCCUCACCGACUCCGACGAUGACGAUGACGACGACGACGCCGGAUCCGCCUCCGAUCCAGACGACCGCCACCGCCUUCCCUCCUCUCGUGCCGAUCGCGUUCGCCUCCUCAUCGGCCGACUCUCUGAAGGCAGCGGCGAUGGCGACGACUCUCUCCCUCUUUUCCCGCCUCCCGCUCCUGCUCGCUCCGGACCCUAUCCUGCCUCCGUCGCAUCAAUCGAAGCUCUCCCUAUCGUCUGCAUCUCCGGUGCUCAUGCGACCUCCUUUCCCUCUUGCGCGGUUUGUAAGGAAGAUUUCGUCCUCCACUCUUCCGCCCGUCGCCUCCCCUGCUCGCACCUCUACCACUCCGAUUGCAUCGUCCCUUGGCUUUCCCUUCACAAUUCCUGCCCCAUCUGCCGCGCGCCGCUCCCCUCUCAAUCUUCUGGUGGCGCCAUUUAUGGAGACGAUGACGCGCUUUCAGCGGCGCUCAGUGGGGCCGAUGAUGACACGACGGUGCUGACUGCUGCGCUGUGGCAAGUGAGGAGGCAGCACCGGCUUUCGUUUCCGGUUCAGCCUGCUGCAUCAGCAGCCAUGAACGCUGUCCUCUUUCAGAUGGAAGAGGUGGAUGAUGCGCUAGUUGAUAGUGUGGAGACGACGUCAUUGGAAGGGCGUGGAACAUCCAUAGGAAGUGGGACGGAUGGUGACAACACUAUCAUCUUGCCUGAGAUUAGGGAGAAUUGUCUUUAGCACGUAUCCUGACAGCGAUUAUUGUUGCAUAAAUCCUUGAGGAGGCCAUGGAGCUGCAUUAUCUUGAGCUUGGAAGCAAAAGAAAAUAGUGAAUCCGCGCAAGGACCCCAAUGUUCAAUCCACCUACGAUGAGAUCGAGUACCUUCCGAAUCCGACAUCUGAAACACAAGUACCGAUACAAUUACUUCUAAGUCUUCUUUACUUCAUCAACAAACAAGUACUGGAAACUUCAAUAUUUGGAAUAUGUACGCUCGUGUUGUAUCUUAAUGACGCAGAGGCCAAAGAAGAAGACGUUCGCAGUAAUUUCUGAUACAAUCAUUACUGUAAUCUGCCUAAUAAUGUUUUUUUUGCUAUUUAGUUAUUGAAUUCAUCCAAGUUGUAAACUCAUUUAUAAGCUUAUAUUCUCCCUGUAUGGUUGUGAA